rnacentral:rRNA from 1 species
UACGAAGGGGGCUAGCGUUGCUCGGAAUCACUGGGCGUAAAGGGUGCGUAGGCGGGUCUUUAAGUCAGGGGUGAAAUCCUGGAGCUCAACUCCAGAACUGCCUUUGAUACUGAAGAUCUUGAGUUCGGGAGAGGUGAGUGGAACUGCGAGUGUAGAGGUGAAAUUCGUAGAUAUUCGCAAGAUCACCAGUGGCGAAGGCGGCUCACUGGCCCGAUACUGACGCUGAGGCACGAAAGCGUGGGGAGCAAACAGG